rnacentral:tRNA from 2 species
CGGGUCGUAGCUCAACUGGUGGAGCACGGCAAAAGCGUUGUCGAGGAACUGGUUCGAAUCCAGUCGACCCGACCA